rnacentral:lncRNA from 1 species
UAUUAGUCGAUCAUCUGCUCGACUAAGGCUUAGUUUGAUAUUGAGAUCUAUUUUUAGGGUAAGAGUAUAUGAGGAUACGUUUCUGUGUUCCCCGGUGAGACCGCAGAAAUUAUAUAUUAAUCGACUAAUUGCAAUAUACGAAACGCAAUAUUACGUACGAACACAAACAAUAUAUUUUUUUCAUCGUAUUUUCUCACCGCACGUAACGCAAUCUCUGAGCAAUCCCAAACGAAGCCUAAAUACGACCUUAAAUUUACUCGUCCGUAUUUUGUCAUGUCACGCUAUAUCAUUUUUGGAUUA